rnacentral:piRNA from 1 species
UGUGCUUGACUAUUUUGAGGCACUGACCUGU